rnacentral:rRNA from 1 species
CCUGGCGGCCUUAGCGCGGUGGUCCCACCUGACCCCAUGCCGAACUCAGAAGUGAAACGCCGUAGCGCCGAUGGUAGUGUGGGGUCUCCCCAUGCGAGAGUAGGGAACUAAGACGC